GAUGAACGCUGGCGGCGUGCCUAAUACAUGCAAGUCGAGCGAACAGAUGAGGAGCUUGCUCCUCUGACGUUAGCGGCGGACGGGUGAGUAACACGUGGAUAACCUACCUAUAAGACUGGGAUAACUUCGGGAAACCGGAGCUAAUACCGGAUAAUAUAUUGAACCGCAUGGUUCAAUAGUGAAAGACGGUUUUGCUGUCACUUAUAGAUGGAUCCGCGCCGCAUUAGCUAGUUGGUAAGGUAACGGCUUACCAAGGCAACGAUGCGUAGCCGACCUGAGAGGGUGAUCGGCCACCCUGGAACUGGGACACGGUCCAGACUCCUACGGGAGGCAGCAGUAGGGAAUCUUCCGCAAAGGGCGAAAGCCUGACGGAGCAACGCCGCGUGAGUGAUGAAGGUCUUCGGAUCGUAAAACUCUGUUAUUAGGGAAGAACAAAUGUGUAAGUAACUAUGCACGUCUUGACGGUACCUAAUCAGAAAGCCACGGCUAACUACGUG
rnacentral:rRNA from 1 species